AUUGAACGCUGGCGGCAGGCUUAACACAUGCAAGUCGAACGAGUGGCGGACGGGUGAGUAAUGCUUGGGAAUCUAGCUUAUGGAGGGGGCUAACUACGGGAAACUGUAGCUAAUACCGCGUAACAUAGGGUGAGCCUCAGUGGGAUUAGGUAGUUGGUGAGGUAACGUCUCACCAAGCCGACGAUCUCUAGCUGGUCUGAGAGGAUGACCAGCCACACGGGAACGGAGACACGGCCCAGACUCCUACGGGAGGAAGCAGUGGGGAAUAUUGCGCAAUGGGGGCAACCUGACGCAGCCAUGCCGCGUGGAUGAAGAAGGCCUUCGGGUUGUAAAGUUCUUUCGGUAGCGAUGCGUUAACUACAGAAGAAGCACCGGCUAACUCCGUGCCAGCAGCCGCGGUAAUUC
rnacentral:rRNA from 1 species